rnacentral:lncRNA from 1 species
GAUAAGUACAAAAUACGCUAAGAAAAGCAACGCGAACCUAUAUUUUUGGGACCAAAAAAUACUGUCCUAAUAACUUUUCUUUGAUUCUAGCAAGGUUUCGUUAAAAAAAUCAACUUUCUAAAGUCUGUAUCUCGAAAAAGGCUACCAUUGUCGCCUAUGGGGAAAUUAAUUGUUUAUUUCAAUCUUAACAACACUUCAUUUC